GUGUUCACUUCUGCAGCACAUAUACUAAAAUUGGAAAGAUACAGAGAUUAGUAUGGCUUCUCUGCAAGGAUGACACAUAAAUUCACGAAGCAUUCCAUAUUUUU
rnacentral:snRNA from 1 species